AGCAGCUCUUACGAGCAUCAGGGGCUCAGAAGAGGGUGCUCUUCCCAGGGCAUCCAGCAGGCGCGCUGUUCCACGUGCCUCUGAACCCAGCUUCCCGCUUAGCAGCAGGCCUUGAGUGCACCUGGCAUACAAACACCUGCCUGCCCACUCCCAGUGCUGAAGACUGACCAGUCAAGGAGGUGUUGGUGAGAGUGUUGUGUUCACCAUGUGGACGAUUACCGCAUCUUCUUUGCUGACUUUGGUAACCGGGUGUCCAGGGAGGAGUGACCGGGAGUGGCCAAGCAGUUGCCUGGACUCAGCUUCUGACUCUGCAGCCGGGAGUCAGAUGCAGGCCCAAGGGUCCAGGGGAGUUGUUCAACGCCUGGAAUCGCCAUGCACUGCACUGUGGGCCGCACGACGCUCCUGCUCUGUUCUCCCAGGCACAGACAGGCACUUGGAAGGCAGCUUUGCUCCUCUGGCCACCUGGAAACCUCCCAGCAGUUCAGAUGGGACAAACUGGGGGCCUGUCAGAACACCCACUUGUGCCGGGAAGGCCAGGCCCCGGCCUGCUCCGAUGAACGUCAGGAUGGUGGCUGCAGCA
rnacentral:sRNA from 1 species